CUUAAUUCAGGAUAAAUGGAGUUAGCCUACCCAGGAGGAUUCAUUGCCAUAUAAAUGUACCUGGCUAAAAUAUGAGCCACUUUCUUGGUAUUGGUUAUCCCGAGUUGAACUCAAUUGACCAAAGUUACCUCGCUAAUUCCUCAAACCAGUGAACUGGUAGUGGCAGAGCUCACAGGCGCUGGUGCCAGAGGCAGAGAGCCAGUGCUCCAGGCAGCUCCGGUGGAUGGUACCCAGGGUCCCUGCACACUCACAGGGGGAGAGCAGCUCCUCCUGACCCCCUCCGUCAUGACAGAUCCGACACAUGGGCCGCUCAGGCAGAGGGCUUCGGCGAUAUGGAACGAGCUUGGGACCGCAGGUGGAAAAAUGUGCCGUUCCACCCGUGAGCAAGGAAAUUAACCCCCAACACAACUGCUCCCCGUGCGCUGAUGACGUGGACGUCGAUUAAGGCAGCACCCCGCACCUCUCUGAUUUAGAGGGGUUGGGUUA